UACGAGAGGCCCAAACGUUAUUCGGAUUUACUGGGCUUAAAGAGUUCGUAGGCGGCGCAGAAAGUAGGGUGUGAAAGCCCUCGGCUCAACCGAGGAAUUGCGCCCUAAACUACUGUGCUUGAGGGACCUAGAGGUGAGCAGAACAGAUGGUGGAGCGGUGAAAUGCAUUGAGAUCGGAAAGAACACCAACGGCGAAAGCACUCUGCUGGGCCGACACUGACACUGAGAGACGAAAGCUAGGGGAGCAAAUGGG
rnacentral:rRNA from 1 species